rnacentral:rRNA from 1 species
AGAGUUUGAUCCUGGCUCAGGACGAACGCUGGCGGCGUGCUUAACACAUGCAAGUCGAACGAUGAAGCCUUUCGGGGUGGAUUAGUGGCGAACGGGUGAGUAACACGUGGGCAAUCUGCCCUGCACUCUGGGACAAGCCCUGGAAACGGGGUCUAAUACCGGAUAAUACUUUUCUCUGCAUGGGGGAAGGUUAAAAGCUCCGGCGGUGCAGGAUGAGCCCGCGGCCUAUCAGCUUGUUGGUGGGGUGAUGGCCUACCAAGGCGACGACGGGUAGCCGGCCUGAGAGGGCGACCGGCCACACUGGGACUGAGACACGGCCCAGACUCCUACGGGAGGCAGCAGUGGGGAAUAUUGCACAAUGGGCGAAAGCCUGAUGCAGCGACGCCGCGUGAGGGAUGACGGCCUUCGGGUUGUAAACCUCUUUCAGCAGGGAAGAAGCGAAAGUGACGGUACCUGCAGAAGAAGCGCCGGCUAACUACGUGCCAGCAGCCGCGGUAAUACGUAGGGCGCAAGCGUUGUCCGGAAUUAUUGGGCGUAAAGAGCUCGUAGGCGGUUUGUCACGUCGGAUGUGAAAGCCCGGGGCUUAACCCCGGGUCUGCAUUCGAUACGGGCAGACUAGAGUGUGGUAGGGGAGAUCGGAAUUCCUGGUGUAGCGGUGAAAUGCGCAGAUAUCAGGAGGAACACCGGUGGCGAAGGCGGAUCUCUGGGCCAUUACUGACGCUGAGGAGCGAAAGCGUGGGGAGCGAACAGGAUUAGAUACCCCCGUAGUCC